rnacentral:misc_RNA from 1 species
CUGAAAAUCUCUGCGUCUUUGAUCAAACAAGAAUUGAAGAAGCGAGAGGGCUCAAAUAUGGACGCUGAAUUGCUGGAAUUGCAGAGACAAUUCGAGUUCGCGCAGCAAGCGAAAUCGAGCAUCCGAUUAUCUGAUAGAAACGUCGUCGAAUUGGUUCAAAAGCUCCAGGAGCUUCACAUCAUCGAUUUCGACCUUCUUCACACCGUCUCCGGCAAAGAAUAUAUCACUCCCGAGCAACUCAGGCAUGAGAUGGCGGCGGAGAUCAAUAAAUCUGGGCGUGUUUCAUUGAUAGAUCUUGCAGAUGUUACUGGCGUUGAUUUAUAUCAUGUUGAAAAGCAAGCUCAACAAGUAGUUUCAGAAAAUCCGGGGCUUAUGCUGAUUCAAGGAGAAAUUAUAUCAGAGUCUUAUUGGGAUAACGUUGCAGAAGAAAUCAACGAGAGGCUUCAAGAAUGUAGUCAAAUUGCUUUGGCAGAACUUGCUACGCAGUUGAAUGUUGGAU